rnacentral:rRNA from 1 species
CCUUAUUGCCGUGCUUUUCUUCGGUACCGUCAUUAGCCCUCUUUAUUAGAAAAGGCCGUUUCGUUCCGUACAAAAGCAGUUUACAACCCGAAGGCCUUCAUCCUAGCACGCGGCAUAGGCUGGAUCAGGCUUUCGCCCAUUGUCCAAAAUUCCCCACUGCUGCCUCCCGUAGGA